GAUGAAGAACGUAGCGAAAUGCGAUAAGUAAUGUGAAUUGCAGAAUUCAGUGAAUCAUCGAAUCUUUGAACGCACAUUGCGCCCGUCAGUAUUCUGGCGGGCAUGCCUGUUCGAGCGUCAUUACGCCCCUCAAGUCCCCUGUGGACUUGGUGUUGGGGAUCGGCGAGGCUGGUUUUCCAGCACAGCCGUCCCUUAAAUUAAUUGGCGGUCUCGCCGUGGCCCUCCUCUGCGCAGUAGUAAAACACUCGCAACAGGAGCCCGGCGCGGUCCACUGCCGUAAAACCCCCCAACUUUUUAUAGUUGACCUCGAAUCAGGUAGGACUACCCGCUGAGCUUAAGCAUAUCGAUAAGCGGAGGA
rnacentral:misc_RNA from 1 species